rnacentral:rRNA from 1 species
CCUACGGGUGGCAGCAGUGAGGAAUAUUGGUCAAUGGGCGAAAGCCUGAACCAGCCAUGCCGCGUGCAGGAAGACGGCUCUAUGAGUUGUAAACUGCUUUUGUACGAGGGUAAACACAGAUACGUGUAUCUGCUUGAAAGUAUCGUACGAAUAAGGAUCGGCUAACUCCGUGCCAGCAGCCGCGGUAAUACGGAGGAACCAAGCGUUAUCCGGAUUUAUUGGGUUUAAAGGGUGCGUAGGCGGGCAUUUAAGCCGGCGGUAAAAUGUCGGGGCUCAACCCCGGCCUGCCGUCGGAACUGGGUGCCUUGAGUGGGCGAGAGGUAUGCGGAAUGCGUGGUGUAGCGGUGAAAUGCAUAGAUAUCACGCAGAACCCCGAUUGCGAAGGCAGCAUACCGGCGCCCUACUGACGCUGAGGCACGAAAGUGCAGGUAUCGAACAGGAUUAGAUACCCUUGUAGUC